GGUAUGCAAAUCACAGUCAUGCCAAUUUCAGUAUUGUCUAAAUUGAUCACGGUGAAACUACAUCUGCUGUUCUAGAUUCAAGUUGAGUCUUGACCUCUAUAAAUAUGUACUUGCUUUUCCUCUCCAUAGGUUUCUAGCAUUCUGAAUGUAUCCUAUUGGCACAUAAUUACAUCAAUUUUCCUUGCAAAUCAACUUAGAAAUCCAUUGCCCCCUGUACAAAAUCAACUUUCAAUGGAUCAUGCCCAUGCAUAACUUCAGUUUUGGCUGGAUUUUGGAACUGACAAACAUUAGUUGUAUAUGUGUAUUCAGGUAAAGAAAAGACAUGGUAUUCAAACUAUUCUGGUUUCUCUAUUAAAUCGAAGAUGACAACGACAUCGACGAAGGGAUGAGGCGGCAAUAGUUGCAUUCUCUGUAUAUGAACAUGAAGACCUAGAAGGUCGUCUCCUGGAAAGGGAUGCUUCAUUUACAAGAGCGGCUCUCCCCAACAACACUGUUGUGAUGUACUGAAGCCUCCCGUUCCACAUGUUGGGUACUUACACCUCAACGUCACUUCUAUGAGUUGUGGCCUAGAUCAGCAUGUGUAUGUGCCACAGCUUGUGGGAGGGACAAAAUGGGAGGUCGCCUUGAAAUUGUGGAAGUGCAAGGGAGGCCGGAAGAGUGCAUUGCUACACUGCUGCC